rnacentral:rRNA from 1 species
UACAGAGGUCUCAAGCGUUGUUCGGAUUCAUUGGGCGUAAAGGGUGCGUAGGUGGCGGGGUAAGUCAGGUGUGAAAUCUCGGAGCUCAACUCCGAAACUGCACUUGAUACUGCCUUGCUUGAGUACUGGAGAGGGGAUUGGAAUUUACGGUGUAGCAGUGAAAUGCGUAGAUAUCGUAAGGAAGACCAGUGGCGAAGGCGAAUCUCUGGACAGUUACUGACACUGAGGCACGAAGGCCAGGGGAGCAAACGGG